CCUACGGGGGGCUGCAGUGGGGAAUAUUGGACAAUGGGGGGAACCCUGAUCCAGCCAUGCCGCGUGUGUGAAGAAGGCCCUCGGGUUGUAAAGCACUUUCAGUGAGGAAGAACGCCUGGUGGUUAAUACCCAUCAGGAAAGACAUCACUCACAGAAGAAGCACCGGCUAACUCCGUGCCAGCAGCCGCGGUAAUACGGAGGGUGCGAGCGUUAAUCGGAAUUACUGGGCGUAAAGCGCGCGUAGGUGGCUUGAUAAGCCGGUUGUGAAAGCCCCGGGCUCAACCUGGGAACGGCAUCCGGAACUGUCAAGCUAGAGUGCAGGAGAGGAAGGUAGAAUUCCCGGUGUAGCGGUGAAAUGCGUAGAGAUCGGGAGGAAUACCAGUGGCGAAGGCGGCCUUCUGGACUGACACUGACACUGAGGUGCGAAAGCGUGGGUAGCAAACAGGAUUAGAUACCCGACUAGUC
rnacentral:rRNA from 1 species